rnacentral:lncRNA from 1 species
UUCUUCCAUUUUCUUUAUCAUUGUGUUUCUUACCAUCUGUUUGGGAAAUUAGAGAGCCGAGUGAAUUCCCAUCUCCCAAGAAUUUUCCCCAAAACCCCUAAAGCCUUGUAAUUGGAGUUGAUUUAUGCAGGCGAUAACAUAUUCGGAUUUGACGCCAAAGAUGCAGUGGCGUCUUUGAAUGCUGCAUUCGCACCUGCACUAUCAUCAAACAUACCCUGGGCUGCUGUUCUCGGCAACCACGACCAGGAAUCCACUCUCUCAAGGGAAGGGGUGAUGAAAUAUAUAGUCGGCAUGAAACACUCCCUGUCUCAGUUGAAUCCCCCCGGGGUUAACAUUAUUGAUGGUUUUGGGAACUAUAAUCUGGAGGUUAGCGGGGUUGAGGGUUCUAGUUUACAUAACAAAUCAGUUCUCAAUCUCUAUUUCCUGGAUAGCGGGGAUUACUCCACGGUUCCCUCUAUCUUUGGCUAUGGCUGGAUCAAACCCUCUCAGCAAUUUUGGUUUCAGCGCACUUCUAAGAAGCUUCGGGUACUAAUUUUGCGUUUUCCGAGAGCAUUUUUCCCAUUUCUAUGGUCCUCACCAUGCCCAUUCAAUUGGGUAUUCCGUAGCCUCAAGUAGAAUUAUCAUAGAUUUUAUGCCUUAUAAGCCAUAACUCUGUUCAUUUACCACUGCCCUUUCUAAUGCAGAGAGCAUACAUGAGCAAUCCGGAGGGUCAGAAAUCAGCUGCACCAGGUCUAGCAUACUUUCAUAUCCCGUUGCCCGAAAGUGCGAGUUUUGACUCAUCAAACUUCACGGGUGUAAAACAAGAAGGCAUCAGCUCUGCUUCUGUGAAUUCAGGCUUCUUCACAACCAUGGUGGAAGCAGGGGAUGUGAAGGCUGCGUUCACUGGACAUGAUCAUGUCAAUGACUUCUGUGGAGAGCUACUUGGUAUACAUCUUUGCUAUGCUGGAGGGUUCGGGUACCAUGCCUAUGGGAAAGCUGGAUGGGCGAGGAGGGCUCGGGUUGUGUUGGCAACUUUGGAAGAAAGGGAGAAGGGAGGGUGGGGAGAAGUUAAGUCUAUCAAGACGUGGAAGCGGCUUGAUGAUAAACACCUUACUGUUAUCGAUGCUCAGGUCCUCUGGAGCAAGACCUCUGCUGGUAAGCUUCUACUCAAGUACCUUCUUGGUCACACUCUUGCAUUGGUCUUUUUAGCUUGUUAUAGUGGAGAGCAAUCAGCUCUGGAACAUCUAAGAAGUGUGUUUCAUAUCAUCCUGUCUGCAUCUGUCUCUUCCAAUUGCCUGAUUUUAAUGGAUCAUUCAGUGGUAUCCUGUGGAAACUCAAUGGUUUUCUAGUAAAAUACUUCAUAUUAUCUUUGAAAAGAGACCAUACAUGCAGAUAAUUUCUGUGCAAGUGUUUUCACAUCUGCCUUGGUGAUGCCAGAACAUAAUGAUCUUAUUUUCAUCUUCUUUCCUGGCCUCCACUAGAUGGUCGAGAUAUAAAUGAAUCAAGGAUUCUCCUACUUCAUUUAUUUUUUCACCCACUAUGGCAAAAUCUGUUUGCCCACCAACUUCACAUCACAAUUCAUUUUCUUUUGGGAUCCCUGUGUGAAUCACCUUGUAUCAGUGUUCUUGUUGUAUGGAUUUAUGAGUUUUGUGAUAUUCUCCUAUCUCAUUCACUGAAUUGAUUUGCCAAACACACCAAAAAUAAAUGUUGCUAAUUUUUCUAAAAAAUUAUCAUAACUGCCAUCAGGUGUAUGCCAUUUGCCUAAUCAAUCAUUUUUUUUUUCUCAAAGUUAACAUUUGAAUCUGUUUUCCAUUCCAUGCCAUCAGAAUGCUCACAUUUACUCUUUAUUUUUGGUUUGCAUUGAACAGGAAGCCGUAGAAAGAAAAAGAUUGGUGGCAUUUAAGUGAUUAACACGUAUUUGCAGCAAAGAUAAGCCAUCAACUUAGCUGUGAGAAAGUAAGCUUCAAAUAUCAGUUCAAAGGAAUCUUCUCUUGAUGUUGUUUUAUAGUUUUAUUUCAAGGACUUGUAUGUCUAAGACAUAAAGAAAACACAUGAGUAUUUUACAGGACAAUAAAUGAAAAACUAUUAUAAAGGAAGUUAAAGAUAUCAUCAGUAAUCAGUAAGUGGAUGUCAUCUAAUUGCAAUUCAUGCACGGUAGUUUUGUCAAAGAACCUUUUGAUGCAUGAAUGAUUAGAGAACAUAGUCCACAAAGUUGAGAAACUUCUUUGAUUCUUAAUAGUUCAUGCAAUGUACUAUUCAGUAUCAUUACCAUCCAAAACCUGUUCAUCCUCAACUUUCUCAGACUGCAGACUAGAAGAAUGGACAACUAGAUUGACUUUCAUCUCCUAACAACCUACAAAUAGUCAUAAAUCAAGACAAUAUCAGGAGCUUAAGUUUAGCUCUUGUCAGAGCUUGGUCAUGUACACAAUUUAAGCCAAAAAAAGGCUGUUGGGAGUAUAAAGAACUGGGAUAAAAACUAAAACAAGGCCAAAAUCUCUGCAAAAAUGAUCAUUUUGAAUAAUCAAGAAGCCACAUAUGUUUUUGAGGACUACUAAUAGUUGCAGGUGGACUCCAAAAAUUUUGUUUGGUGAUAGGAGUUUUGGUUCUGGAGCACUGAAAGAAACUUGAACCAUUGGAUGAAGUAUCAUAUUUCAUGUCUUUUAUGCAGAGUAUGUAGAUGAAGAAAGAUUUCAAGUUAUUGGAUCAUUCUUGUAAUCAGACACUUGUGGUGGUGAUCCAUUCCCAAAUUCUCUCUAUUAUGUCAUAACCUGAAACGUGGAAGAAAGAAAACCAAGUGAUCAUUCUUAUUCUUACAAGUUGGUUUUGGGGCUUAAUAUGCCAUCUACCAACUGGUUCAACAGAAGUCCAAACUUUCAAUUUGAUUGUGAUUGUCACUAUUGAGUUGUUGUUUGAUUGUUCAAAUGACAUACAUGAAAUGGCUCUUUGCCAUGAACAAUUGAUCGGGAAGUUUUCUGAACAAUGGUUCAAAACUAUAAUUAUGGUCAGAUUAUUUUGUUAUUAUUGGAAUGUUCACAUAUAUGGUUAAUUUUGAUACAGCAGUCCAUCGGCUUUUAGAUUUACAUUUAUAUUGUGCUGUUGGAUAAUGCUAUAUGAUCUGUUUUGGUGAAUUCCAUACAGCUAAAAAUGAUUGACUUCAAAUCACCAUUCUUGACCAGCCAAUAUCACACUGAGCCCCCGAGAAUUUCAAACAGGUUCUUCAAAUUCACGAGUUCCUGCAAGAACAUUCCCAGAAAGUAUUUUCCGUUUUAACUAUGAUAAGGUGAUCUGUGAUGAAAUCGAGUGUCAUAUGUCUAAAUAACAAAAUCCAUUUACCAAGGGGUACAUUGUAAGAAUGAAAAAGAAAUAGAAUUAAAACCUUUCUACCUGCUCUAAUAUUCAAAAUAUAGUCAUAUAUUCAUCUGUUAACCCUAAAUCAUGGUUAUACAACAGGAUUUGUUUUCGAUUGAUGUGUAUUUAUUAUGCUGAUUUAUUGACCUUGUUCCUUCAUUUCGUCUUUUUUUUUCCCUUCUUAUUUCCUUUUUUCUAUGACUACAUUUCAAUUCUUAGAUUAUUAACAGUACAUCAAAGUUUUCAUCUGCUUCGACAUUUGUUCAACAAAAUAGUGUUGAGGACAUUAGCAUUUCCCUAAGGCUACAUCUGGUUUCAUGAGAGUUUGAGAAAAAGAAAAUAGGAAGGAAAAACAUAAGAAAAAGGAAAAGAAAAUUUACAAUAUUUUUACGUUGUUUGGUUGUCUGGCGAAAAGUUUUAGGAAAACAAAAUUAAGGUUAUAUUUGGUUUCUGGAAAGUAUUAAGAAAAAAAAGUUAAAAAAAAUGAUUUUCUCAUACUCAAUCGCAUUAUUGAAUAAAUGAAAAAAAAUCAAAUAUCAUUAAAAUUUUCCUUCCUUGUUAGAAAACGAUAAAUUUUUCGGUACUUUUGUAAAUGAUAGGCUCAUUGGGAUCAUAUAAAUUUUAAACACCACGACUCAAGUGAGCAAGAGUGGUGGACUCUGCGAGUUGACGGAGCCUCACGCUCAUCAGGCUCCGGAGUGGGGCUCGUACUACAGUCCCCAACUGGGGAACAUCUGGAGCAAGCCAUCCGGCUGGGAUUCUCUGCAUCUAACAAUGAAGCAGAAUACGAGGCUAUCCUGUCCGGAUUGGACCUCGCUCUUGCUCUAUCCGUCUCCAAACUCCGGAUCUACAGCGAUUCACAACUCGUGGUAAGACAUGUCCAGAAGGAAUAUGAGGCCAAGGACGCAUGCAUGGCGCGAUAUUUGGCUAAAGUAAGAAACACCUUGCAAUAAUUCACCGAAUGGACAAUCGAAAAAAUCAAGCGAACUGACAAUGGGCGCGCUGACGCCUUGGCUGGCGUAGCUGCUUCCCUCCCAAUCAAAGAAGCCAUUCUAUUGCCUGUACAUGUGCAAGCCAAUCCCUCUGUCGAAGAAAUCUCCGCUUGCAACACCAUUGAGGCAAAUCAAGCAGACGAUCAAGAAUGGACGUAUAACAUUGCAGAAUAUCUCCGGACAGGGAUUCUACCCGGAGAUACUAAACAGGCGCACAAAAUCCGGGUGCAAGCUGCCCGUUUCACACUGAUUGGGGGGCACCUGUACAAACGAUCCUUCACGGGACCUUACCUUCGGUGCUUAGGGCAUUCAGAGUCCCAGUAUGUGUUAGCUGAAUUGCAUGAGGGAAUAUGCGGAAAUCAUUCCGGAGGACGAUCUCUAGCACAUAGAGCUCAUUCGCAAGGAUACUAUUGGCCAACAAUGAAGAAAGACGCGGCAGCAUAUGUCCAGAAAUGUGAUAAAUGUUAAAGUUACGCCCCCAUUCCACAUAUGCCAUCAGCAAUGUUGAAGUCAAUCUCAGGCCCAUGGCCCUUUGCGCAGUGGGGCAUGGACAUAGUAGGACCCCUUCCAGCAGCACCUGCCCAGAAGAAGUUCCUCCUUGUUGCCACUGAUUACUUUAGUAAAUGGGUAGAAGCCGAAGCAUAUGCUACCAUCAAAGACAAAGAUGUCACCAAGUUCGUGUGGAAAAACAUUGUUUGUCGUUUUGGAAUGCCCCAAACUAUUGUAGCUGAUAAUGGUCCACAAUUUGACAGCACUGCAUUUAGGAAUUUAUGUUCGGAACUAAACAUCCGGAAUUCAUACUCCACACGCAUUAUCCUCAAAGCAAUGGCCAAGCAGAAGCCACAAACAAGACCCUAAUCAAUGCCUUAAAGAAAAGGCAUGAACAAGCCAAAGGGAAGUGGGUGGAGGAGCUACCCGGCGUACUAUGGGCCUAUCGAACUACACCCGGACGACCAACAGGAAACACUCCUUUCGCCCUCGCAUAUGGAAUGGAUGCAGUCAUUCCUACUGAAAUCGGUCUUCCUACUAUCCGGACUGAUGCAACAAAACAAAAUGAUGCAAACACGGAAUUAGGGAGAAAUUUUGAUUGGACAAAUGAAGUGAGGGAAAAUGCAGCCAUCCGUAUGGCAGACUAUCAACAAAGGGCAUCAACGCAUUACAAUCGCAAAGUGAAGCCCAGAAGCUUCAAAAAUGGUACGCUAGUACUUAGAAAAGUUUUUGAAAACACUGCUGAAAUAGGCGCAGGGAAGUUACAAGCUAACUGGGAAGGACCCUAUAUAGUGUCUAAAGCAUGUGAAAAUGGAGCCUAUCAUUUACAAAAGUUAGACGUGAUGAUGCUUUUUAUUACCAUCAAAUAUCAUUUUUAUUUUCGAUUCAAAGCAGCAAUAGUUAUCAAUGAUGGAAAAGAUGAAGAACAGUUAAUGUUAUCAUUGUGUAAAUGAUAACCCAUUACACCAUCAGUGUGAUGUAUAAUAAGAUUUUAACAUAUAAUAGUUAAGAUUAAGCAUAACAGAUUUUAACGUUGAUAGAAUCAGUCUAUGAAAAUGUCAUUUAGCCAUAAUCUAAUUUUUUAUUACCAUUGGAGAUUGUUUCAACGUGAGUUUAUUUAUACUAUUAAUGAAACAAAUCCAUGUUUCAGGAAGAACAGUUAUCAAAGAUGUCAUUUCUAUCAAUAAUCUAAUAUGAGAUUCUAUGUAAAUAUCAUUUUUGAAAACACUGCUGAAAUAGGCCCAAUUUAUCAUUUGCCCGUGAAAAUUUGUAAAUAGAACCGACGAUGUCGUCGUAAAAUGAGAAACCAAAUGAAGAAAGAAUAAACUUCCAUAAAACCUAGAUGGUGUCUAAACGAUGAAAAACCAAAGGAUCAUGUCCCAAUGAUUAGUUAUAAAUGGAAAAAAGGAAUGAGCUUAGAUAGAACCUAGAAAGUUGUCCCAAUGACGAAAAACGAGUAGAGCAAAUAAAUGAACUUAGAUAAAAUUUAGAUGGCGUCCAGUAACAAAAAACAACAAGGAUGAAGAAUAAACAUAGAUAGAACCUACGAUGGUUUCUAAACAAUGAGAAAUUAAAGGAACAAAAUAUUAAGCUUAGAUAGGGCCUGUCCGCGUUCCAAUGAUCACAAACCAAGGUAAAGAAUAAAUGACCUUAGAAAGAACAUACGAUGUCCCAAAAUGAGAAAAUAUCUUAAUGAACUCGAUGUUGUUGAAGAUACUCUUGACUGGAAACAAUUCAAGAUGAUAUCACUGAUAGAAAUGUCUCCUUAAGAUUGAGUCCUCGGGAGGAUGAUGGAAAUUAGUGUUAUCAUUGUGUAAUAUUAUUACCAUCAAAUAUUAUAUUAUGGCUAAAUGACAUUUUCACAGACUGAUUCUAUCAACGUUAAAAUCUGUUAUGCUUAAUCUUAACAGAACCAGUUUCUAUAAGGACUGCUUCAUAAAACUCUCUUGUUUUUAAAAUAUCACCAGAGGGAUAAUGAAAAUUUUCUUGAAAAGCUUUUGCAGCAAUCUCUCUGGGGUUUUCAGAGAAAAAUUAUCUUUCAAUAACCAAAAGAGAUUGAUUUAAAUCAUUUUGCCAAUAUCUUGAUUUUGUUGAAAGAUGUGUGGGGUUGGCAGCCACCACAAUUUGUUUGCUUGAAAAAGAAGAACUUGUUGCUAAUUCCUUUUGAGAGGGAUUAGCCUUAGUAACCUGCUUAAAGGUCUGAGACCCUGAGGUAGCUGGAUAUUGUGUUGCCUUAACUGGUUUAGAAUGAUCAGAAGGAUCAUAGUAUAAGGUCAACAUUUUGUUAGACAUAUGACUGGAUUCAUGCAUAGGUUUAGAAGAAUGAAGCUUUGCCAAAAGUUGUGCUUCUUCCUCUUCAACUUGUUGACUCCAAAGCAUUUUAUGGGUAGAAGGAGAUUGGUUAGCUUGACUGGAUUGGGGCUUUUGAGAGCUAGAAGCUUGGGUAUUCUUUUUAGGGGCCAUGAUCUCAUGAACCCUGCAAAAUUCACGAGAUAGCUAAUUAGGGCUGAAAUAAUCUCCUUUAAUAAAGUAACUUUGAAACUUAGAUUUUAAAAUAAUAUACCAGUUAAUUAAAUCAUACUUAAAAGUUAUAUAUUUAAUUGUUUCAAAAUCUUUGAAAACAAUUUUUAAUAAAAAAUCUUGAUUCAAAAUCCCAAUUUGAAAUUUUGAAAUGCAUAAAGAAAUGCUUAAAAUAUCAUUUAUAAUGAGAUUAUGAAUGAAUUGGGUACUUAAAAUCUUAGGUGGAUCAUUAAUUCUAACAAGAUUAAUCUCUUGAUCACAACGAGUGAUGCUUUCAACAGGAUUAGCAAAUUCAAAAAGAAUUUCCUUAUCAAAAAGCUUAGUUCUUAUACCUUGGUUAUCUACCCACAACGGAUAAAUAGAACUUAAGAAGGGUAUUCCUAGGAGGGCUUUUUCAUUAAGAUCCUUAACACUGGGGCUUAGAAAUUAGUGACAGUUUUUCGGUACUCGAACGGAUUUUACCUUUUGUCGGUACUCGCCCGGAUUAAACAAUUUUUCGGUACUCAGACUGAUUCUACCAUUUUUCCGUACUAGUCCGGACAGUUUUUCGGCACUCGCACGGAUUCCACCUUUUGUCGGUACUCGCCCGGAUUCAACAAUUUUCCGGUACUCACACUGAUUCUACCAUUUUUUCGUACUGGUCCGGACAGUUUUAAGGUGCUCGCACGGAUUCCACCUUUUCCCGGUACUCUUUCGGAUUCAACAAUUUUCCUCUACUCACACUGAUUCUACCAUUUUUUCGUACUGGUCCGGACAGUUUUAAGGUACUAGCACGGAUUCCACCUUUUCCCGGUACUCGCCCGGAUUCAACAAUUUUCCGGUGCUCACACUGAUUCUACCAUUUUUCUGUAGUGGUCCGGACAGUUUUUCGGUACUCGCAUGGAUUCCACAUUUUGUAGGUACUCGCCCGGAUUCAACAAUUUUCCGGUACUCACACUGAUUCUACCAUUUUUUCGUAAUUGUCCGGACAAUUGUAAGGUACUCGCAUGGAUGCCACCUUUUCCCGGUACUCAUCCGGAUUAAACAAUUUUCCGCUACUCACACUGAUGCUACCAUUUUUUCGUACUGGUCUGGACAAUUUUUCGGUACUCGCACGGAUUCCACCUUUUGUCGGUACUCGCCCGGAUUCAACAAUUUUUCGGUACUCACACCGAUUCUACCAUUUUUCCGUAUUGGUCCGGACAGUUUUAAGGUACUCGCACGGAUUCCACCUUUUCCCGGUACUCGCCCGAAUUCAACAAUUUUCCGGUGCUCACACUGAUUCUACCAUUUUUCCGUAGUGGUCCGGACAGUUUUUCGGUACUCGCACGGAUUCCACCUUUUGUAGGUACUCGCCCGGAUUCAAACACUCUUGGUAUAAAGUCGAGCAAAACCAAGGAAAAUGAUGAGGUAGUAGCAAAUCUACAAUGCUUACUUUCAUUCUUUGGUAUCUAUGAAAUGCUGCAACUUUUUGAGGAAACACAAAUUGCAUUGAUGUAGAUACAUAGAAAUCCAUCACUCUAUGCUACAAAAAUAAAGGGAGCAAAACAAUUUGAGAACAAAUGCCACAAUUGUGCAACAUGUUGUGCAACCAUCACUUUCACCAGUGAUGAUGAAAAAAGCAUGACAUCAAAUUUUACCACAAUUGUUUUCAAACCUCGACAUUCCAAUUAUGCUCCUUAAAGCAUGAACCUAAAAUGCAUAUUGUUUCUAUCCUAUAAGAGCUUAAACUAUAGUAUUAAAAAAAAAAAAUCAAGCUUAUGGCAAAAAUAAAAAUAAAAAAAUCUUUUUUGACAAUCUUUUUAAACUAAGGAACAAACUCUUUGUAUUAAAGAAGUCAAAUUCAUAGAUUCUAAACUAAAAUCUCCAACUUCUCUAAAUAAAAGUGUUAUUUUCUUUUAACAUGACAAGUUCUCAAAAUGGCAAUGCAACCCAGAAGCUAAAUCCAAAAAUGAAGGUUCAAAAGUCAUGAUCAAACUCCAAACAUUUUUCAACAAGCUCGUGGAAGAAUAUCAAGCACCAUACAAAAUUGUCAUUCAUCCACCUUCAAAGCUAAAGAAAAUAAGGUUAGGUUCUUCAAAACACUUCAGGAAAUUAUUGAUAAGUUUACUUGAGAUUAGGUCAUCCUUGACCAUCAAUUAAACUUUGCUCCAAGAACACGUGUUUACUACCCUUGGAUUAAAGUCAAGUCUAAGCUCGACACAUUUUUCAACAAUCCUAUGGAAGAAUAUCAAACACAAUACAAAAGUGUCAUUCAUCCAUCUUCAAGGAUGAAAAUCAAGAUGAAUUCAAAGGACCUUAUUUUGUUCUCCAAAAUGCUUAAGAAAGGUCUUCACAAGUUUGGUUGAGAAUAAGUCAUCUUUGACCAUCAAUUAAACUUUGUUUGUGGAAUUGCCUAAGAUUAUAUCAGAAGAUCAAUUGACCGAUAUCCUCACCAAAGCUGUCUCAAGUCAAGUGUUCUCAAAAUUUUUAGAUAAGUUGGGCAUGUGUGACAUCUAUGCACCAACUUGAGGGGGAGUGUUAAGAUAUUAGAAAUGUUUUCCAUAUAUCAUUCUUUCCUUAUAUUAUUUAGUGUUGAGAUAUUAGGAAUGUUUAAAUAUUAGGAAAGUUGAGAUAUUAAGAAUAUUGAGAUAUUAGGAAUAUUGAGAUAUUAGGAAAGUUGAGAUAUUAAGAUAUUAGUUGUUAUUUCCUUAUAUCAUUCUUUCCUUGUAUCAUUCCUUCCCAUUCUUAGAAUGGUGAUUACCCUCUAUAUAUUCUCUGUACAUGAACGAAUGAAAGUAUGAAUGAAAAAACUAUCAUUUAUCAAUUUGAACAAAAUUCACUUUAUUGAGUUUAUCCUAAUAGUAUGAUGUUGAAAACUCAAGCCUGACUCACAUAUACCAAGUUGUUUACUUAGCUUGUUGAAUCGUGAAACAUGAAUCAUUCCUAUUGCGCUACAAAGGGGAUAUCAGGGGUGCUUGUGAAUUUUGUUUCUUAUAUUUGUUGAAUGAUGAGUUUGUCCUUAUUGUGUUUUUAACUCUUUUAUUAUUUAAGGCUUUGUUUUAGAGAGUACACUUGUGAAUUAGCGUUUAUCAUCAUAAUCCUUUACAAGAAAGUAAGCGGUGCAACUAGCUAAGUCCUUAGGCUUAUUUAAAUAAAGAUUCCAAUUGGACAAGUCAAAUUAAUCGGGUUAGAGAAAGAAGACAGGAUAAGAACCCUAACCCUUGUGUCAUAAGGCUGCAAAGGCACUAUCAAGGAGAGGCUUUUGAGAGAGAUACAGGUGAAGUGGAGCCUUUAAUGCUUGGAGUGCUCAUCACACAAAUAGGGGCUCAUCACACAAAUUUUAAACACUUUUACCCUAAACAGAUCAUAUAAAUUGAAUUGCUGAUAUGUCCACGGGCAAAUGAUCGCUGAAACUCGCUGAAACUCACACUAACAAAGAUCCAAUCCACCAUAGCGCAUUGGAUAUUGGUCUUCUAACUUACACUGGGGUACUUCUAGAGAACUCCAAGUCUCCAAGCAUACGCCUCUAUUUCAGGCAUGCCUAUUUGGUUCACUUCCAAGAGUAGCAUGUUAGAGACAUAUCAAAUACACAUACCCACGUCGUGCCAUGUAAAGGUACUUCACAUGUUGAAUAUUGUGUGCAACAUAGGUGGGAGCUGUGGGAUGUAACCCCCGAUCACAUCAACUUGGAAAACAGUUUACUAUGACAAUUUCCUUAAAGGUUCACUUUCUUAGUGUAGCAGAACAAAACGCCAACAGGUUGUUUCAUUAGUUGACUUAUAACCUAUUGAUGAAAUCUCUAAAAGGGAAAUCAGAGCUGUCUGUAUCUUCACGUGUUCUUUGUUGGAAAUGGGAAUAAAGAAUUAGAAUCUUCUCUUUGGGAUGUAAUAUCCAAACAAUGAAAAGAACGAUGAUGCCUAAGAAUCAUGGUUUGAUGCUUCUUCCAACAAUGUGUCCUUGUUAUAGACUAUAGACUCACAUGUGUUUGCAGCCUGCUAAUACCUAUGAUAAAAUCAUCAAUUGCAUCCUUUGAUUAUGACUAUGCAUCUUUUCCUGAGUUAGAAGAAUCUGCGAGAUCCGUGUCUCUCUCAAAGAUAUUACAGGCUAUUCCCUUCUUCAGCUCUGUCAUUCAUUUUCAAACUCCAUAUCAGUCGAGAGAAAAUUUGAUUGAUUUGCUAGACAAGGUAUUAUUUAUUAUAACAAUUUUUUAGGCCAUGUAUCUGUGCUAUGCACUAUGUGGAGUUGGCCGAACCAAGGCACACAAUUGGUAAAAAUUGGAGAGAAAGAGCAUGGUCCAACUGAUGUGAUUUAUGAAGCUUGAAUUUAUUCGAAGGAAAAUGCUUUGUUGCAAGAGUCACAAGCCAUGCCCAACUGGCAUGAGUUUAAUUAAGGGUCAUAUUCCUUUUCUUAGCCAUUGCUUGGUGUUCAGGUCACACGGAUGUUGGACCUCUAGAGUUCACAAGUAGGGGUGAUUAGGCAUACAGGCAUUCCAACCUAUUUUAGUGGAAGGAUGUGCUAUUUGUUUACAUCCAUUAGUUCAUAAGGGAUUCAAUGCAGAUUUUGAUGGGGAUCAAAUGGCUGUUCAUGUACCUUUAUCUUUGGAGGCUCAAUCGGAGGCUCGCUUACUUAUGUUUUCUCAUAUGAAUCUCUUGUCUCCAGCCAUUGGGGAUCCCAUUUCCGUACCAACUCAAGAUAUGCUUAUUCCUGUGCACACCACACAAACCGGCAACCCAUGAUCUUGAAGAGUUGAAAUCAAGCAAUUCUGUUUUGGUAAACUAAUUUUAUCAUUGCAUGCUUUAAAAGAUUGACCUGAUUAAGAGGAUUCAUUACAUACAAGGUAUAAGAAAGUUGCCUUAUUAUCACGUGUCAUUGGAUUAUAAGACUAGGCAAAUGGACAUCCUUACACACCAAAGAACAAUCUAAUACUAUUUUGUAAUGACUUGCUCUUUCCCGUGUAGAUAUUAUCCGUGCUAGAUCUAAUAAGUUAUCAUAAUUUAAAAAAGCGUGUACCUAAGAUUAAAGUGUCCACUGUUCAACACAGGAGAUCUUCCCUCUGAAGCCGGCAAUUGCCUGGUUGGGUGUUGCUAGUGACUAAUUUUCAAAUCAGUUUAGACUUCACAUAUUUUAAAUAAGAUGACUUGAGCUGUAUAGAAAAGGAGAUAUAUUUUCAUGCAUAGAUCCAAUCCUUCUCUUUUUUUUUUUUGGGUAGGAAUGUGGCAUGGUAUUGACAUUUUUGUUCCGACAUUGGGCUCGUGUGCUCGUGACAGACGACAGCGAGGGUACGAAGAGAGUAAAACAAUCACAGACUGCACAGGACAUGAAAAACUCAACGAGGCUAGCGUGUGCGUAUUACAAAGACAAGCAAAUUAGCUGGCGAGAAAUCUAACAGUUAUCUUCAAAUUCAUGAACUAUGGAGUUUGUGCACACUAGAAUACAACGUCAGCCACGCACAUGAAGCCAUUGAAAAGAGGGUUAGAUUUGUCUUUUGGGAAGUAAAGAAAAGAAAGGGAAUUUGAAGCCUUGUGGUACAAACUACUAAGUAACAAAGCAAGGGAUUGGGUUGUUGAAAGUUAAAACCUGAAGGUCAUACCUUUGUGCGAGCCACUUGAAUUGAAGGCCGUUGGAUCACAUGUGACAUGCCAUUGAUCUCUAAAGUUAAUCUUAUAAGUCCCUUGGACCCGUGGGAUGCUGCCUUGUCCUCAUGAGGAAUAUCUUUCCACGGGGACAUAAUAUAUCUCGAAAGCAUUAUUAACAAGACAAAGACAACAACGUCAUCUAUCCCAUUUGAAUUUAAGAUAGAUGCCUUUAUUUCAUGUACUUCUCUCACUUGCGACUUCCGGGAAGCUCUUGAGGUAGGAUUCAUCUCGUUGGACGUGGUUCGUUUCCUGCCUCACAUUGGAUUAAAUUACAUCAUUUCAAAUGAUAAGAUAUAAAUUAAAAUAUAAUUUAAUUAUUAAAUAAUUCUCUAAGUCUUACGGGAAAUUUCUUAAGUCAAUAUGAUCUUUUACACCUUCGAAAACCAUAAUAUAAUCAAUUUUCAUGUCUUUCGAAUUUAGAGUAAAUAAUAUCUAUAUGAUUCAAUAGGGAUCAAUAUAAAUAGUAUUAGAGUCAAUCCUCAACCUUGAUGUAGAGUUUUAUUUAACCUUAUGAGGGGUGUUUAUUUGUUUAAUUUCAUGAUAUAGUGAAAUAUAAUUAGGGAUCAUUAUAAAUAGUAUCAAAGUCAAUUUUCAACUCCGAUGUAAAAUUUUAUUUAAUCCUUUAUGGGGUGUUUGUUUGAUUUCAUAAUCCCGUGAAAUAUAAAUAGGAUUUUGUAUUUAUAUAAAAGAUGUUUGUAAUAUCUCCUAUUUUACGAUGAAAAAAAAUUUCUUAAUAUUAUAUAAAUAUAAACUCUUUCUAACUUGUUAAUGUUAAUAUGAUUAACCUUUUAUAUUUAUAAUUUAAUUCACCUGUUAAUUUGAAUAAAUCAAAUAUAGAUGGAAGAGAUGGAGAUUAUAAUUAGGAUAAUUAAUAUAAUGAUUAUUAAAUUGAUUUUCGAAUUAAAUAAUUAAAUUGGUUUCAAAACACAAAUUGAAUCUGAUUCCACACGAAUUUUAUCGAAAUAUGAUUGUACUCUAUCCAAGUGUGGCUUUUUCUUUUUGUUUUCCAAAAGCUAAAAAUAUAAUUUAUUUUAUUUUAUUUUAAAAUUUGGCCCAGUGCGGGCCCCGGGGGGCCAAGGCGACGGUCUGACAGCUAAGAGGAAUUAUUAAUUAAUGACUAAUACUAGUCAGCAGGGAGGUGGCGGAAUUAAUAACUAGUACUAGUUAGCAGGCAGGCGGCUGCGAGUGGUGACUAAUGCGAAGCAGUGGAGCAGUGGAGGAGGACCUAAUUGAACGUCAACUCUGAAACUAAAACCAGAGAAAGAAGGAGAAAAACAAUGGCACAGCCAUGGAAGAAGAAAACAUGUUACUGGAUGAAGGCGAUGCUUCUUGCUUUGUGGUUUUCUGGGAUCCAUGUGUUGGCUGAUGCGGCUGCAGCUGUUUCCAAGGAACAAAAUCAAUUGCGGUUCAGCAAGGAGGGGCAGUUCAAGAUACUACAAGUUGCGGACAUGCACUUUGGUGAUGGCAAGUCCACCCCUUGCAAGAAUGUUCUCCCUAAUCAGAUGCGCGGUUGCUCCGACCUCAACACUUCCGCUUUCAUUCAUCGCAUGAUCCAAGCUGAGAAGCCUCAUCUCAUUGUUUUCACGGGUAUUUUCUUCCAUUUUCUUUAUUAUUGUGUUUCUUACCAUCUGUUUGGGAAAUUAGAGAGCCGAGUGAAUUCCCAUCUCCCAAGAAUUUUCCCCAAAACCCCUAAAGCCUUGUAGUUGGAGUUGAUUUAUGCAGGCGAUAACAUAUACGGAAAAGACGCCAAAGAUGCAGUGGCGUCUUUGAAUGCUGCAUUCGCACCUGCGCUAUCAUCAAACAUACCCUGGGCUGCUGUUCUCGGCAACCACGACCAGCAAUCCACUCUCUCAAGGGAAGGGGUGAUGAAAUAUAUAGUCGGCAUGAAACACUCCCUGUCUCAGUUGAAUCCCCCCGGGGUUAACAUUAUUGAUGGUUUUGGGAACUAUAAUCUGGAGGUUAGCGGGGUUGAGGGUUCUAGUUUACAUAACAAAUCAGUUCUCAAUCUCUAUUUCCUGGAUAGCGGGGAUUACUCCACGGUUCCCUCUAUCUCUGGCUAUGGCUGGAUCAAACCCUCUCAGCAAUUU